CACGUAGGCGGAUCGAUCAGUCAGGGGUGAAAUCCCAGAGCUCAACUCUGGAACUGCCUUUGAUACUGUCGAUCUGGAGUAUGGAAGAGGUGAGUGGAAUUCCGAGUGUAGAGGUGAAAUUCGUAGAUAUUCGGAGGAACACCAGUGGCGAAGGCGGCUCACUGGUCCAUUACUGACGCUGAGGUGCGAAAGCGGUGGGGAGCAAAC
rnacentral:rRNA from 1 species